UUGGACCUGAUAUCAGACAAGAUUACCCGCUGAC
rnacentral:rRNA from 1 species